rnacentral:pre_miRNA from 1 species
UUUCUACUCCCUCCGUCCGAAAAUACUUGUCAUCAAAAUGGAUAAAAAGAGAUGUAUCUAAAACUAAAAUACGUCUAGAUACAUUUCCUUUUAUCCAUUUUGAUGACAAGUAUUUCCGGAUGGAGGAAGUAUUUG